UGUAAAUGAGAGAAUCCCGUAUGUUCACCGAGUGUCACUCAUUUCAGAUGAAAUCUAUGAGGCUGCUAAAACUAAUUGCAGUGGGGACUAUGUCAAUGUGGAACUUAACAAUACACUUUGUGUUACUGCUCUUCAAAAAAUUAAAGAUUGUCUUCUACAAAUAAAUCUUGCACCUGAAUU